rnacentral:rRNA from 1 species
ACGAACGCUGGCGGCGUGCUUAACACAUGCAAGUCGAACGCGCCUGUCCUCUGGGUUUCUGGGGGGUGGGUGAGUGGCGAACGGGUGAGUAACACGUGAGUAACCUGCCCCCUUCUUCGGGAUAACGGUCUGAAAGGGCUGCUAAUACCGGGUAUUCACUGGUCUCCGCAUGGGGUCUGGUGGAAAGGUUUUUUUCUGGUGGGGGAUGGGCUCGCGGCCUAUCAGCUUGUUGGUGGGGUGAUGGCCCACCAAGGCUUUGACGGGUAGCCGGCCUGAGAGGGUGACCGGUCACAUUGGGACUGAGAUGCGGCCCAGACUCCUACGGGAGGCAGCAGUGGGGAAUAUUGCACAAUGGGCGCAAGCCUGAUGCAGCGACGCCGCGUGAGGGAUGGAGGCCUUCGGGUUGUGAACCUCUUUCGCCCGUGGUCAAGCCGCGACGUGGGUCGUGGUGAGGGUAGUGGGUAAAGAAGCGCCGGCUAACUACGUG